rnacentral:rRNA from 1 species
GUAGGGAAUAUUGGGCAAUGGAUGCAAGUCUGACCCAGCCAUCCCGCGUGCCGGAAGAAGGCCCUCAGGGUUGUAAACGGCUUUUGACGGUGAAGAAUCGACAGGAUGCGUCCUGUUUUGACGGUAGCCGUUGAAUAAGCACCGGCUAACUCCGUGCCAGCAGCCGCGGUAAUACGGAGGGUGCGAGCGUUGUCCGGAUUUAUUGGGUUUAAAGGGUGCGUAGGCUGGAAGGUCAGUCAGCGGUGAAAAGCUGUCGCUUAACGAUAGUCUUGCCGCAGAUACUUCCUUUCUUGGAUGAGGAGGAGGCCACUGGAACGGAUGGUGUAGCGGUGAAAUGCGUAGAGAUUUGGAAGAACACCAGUGGCGAAGGCGACUUUCUGGACGAUGUCUGACGCUGAGGCGCGAAAGCUAGGGGAGCGAACGGGAUUAGAUACCCUUGUAGUCC